GCCGCGGGGGUCACGUGGUCUCCCCUCUCCCCCCGCGGGCCCGGGCAGCGGGUGGGCGCCGCGGCCCCUCCCGGCGCGGCUCCCCCCGGUCCCGGCUCCGCGGCUCCCCCCGCGGCCUUGCGGGCGCCGAGGGCCGGCAGCAGGCCCGUCCCUGCGCCGCGGGGCCGGCCCGCCUCGAGGCCCCCCUGCGUGUCGGGGCCGGGGGGGCCGCGGCCCCUGUCAGCGGUGGCCGGGCCGUUCGGCGCCGCCGCGCCCGGGGGCGGCUGGGUGCUGGCCGGGGGCUCGCCCGGCCGCGCGGGGCCUCCAGCUGGGAGCACGGGCAGCGCUGGGAAGGUCUCAGUAGCGGUUUGAGGAACAUCUACACCAUAGGUUUGUGCAUAGCCCUUCGUUUACCGUGGGUUCCCUGUCGCAGCUUCUGAACCAAGGCAAGUCAAACGCGAUGCAGAGACAUCAGGAGGGGCAUCAGUGGGACACCAGGACGUGAUCAGACAUCAGCCCGUUUUGGUCUAACUAGCCCUGUUUAAAGAAGCUGAGCCACAGACUUCCAUCACCUAUUUCACAAAUAAAGCAGGACCUUUAAGUAA